CUUAAUUAAUACACAAUUUAUCUUUUCCUUCAGGUUAUUUAUUUCUCAGUCAAAACUCUUGGUUGCCUGCAAGAAACGGAUGCUGGCCCUGUUAAGCAUAAGGGAAUUUAUUGGAAGGACACGAGAGUUCUCAGCAUGGAUAGGUAGCUUGAAAACCAAGCUUAGGAAAGAGGUGCAGAUCAUAUUUUCUGCUUAGAGCAGAUUCCUUCCUGGGCAGACAUUGAGCACACAGCCAGCUGCAGUGGGCACCAGAGACAUUGUGUCCUUUCUACUCUUCAUGUCCUGAUCCCAGUGAUAAUCUUUGAGGCCCCAGUCAGUGGUUCUUUUUUUUUUUUUUUUUUGAGAUGGAGUUUUGCUCUUUUGCCCAGGCUGGAGUGCAGUGGCACGAUCUCAGCUCACUGCAACCUCCACCCACCAGGUUUAAGUGAUUCUCCUGCCUCGGCCUCCCGAGUACCUGGGAUUAUAGGCAUCUGCCAGCAUGUGCAGCUAAUUUUUGUAUUUUUGGUAGAGACAGGGUUUUGCCAUGUUGGCCAGGCUGGUCUCAAACUCCUGGCCUCAGGUGAUCCACCUGCCUCGGCCUCCCAAAGUGCUAGGAUUACAGGCAUGAGCCACCAUGCCUGGCCCAGUAAGUGGUUUUUAAUGAGGGUGAUUUUGCCCCCUUUGGGUACAUUUGGAAUGCCUGGAGACAUUUUUGAUGAUUAUACCUGGGAGGUGGAUAGUGUUACCGGCAUCUAGUGAGCAGAGGCCAGGGAUGCUGCUAUAUAUCCUAGUAUAGGUACAAGCCCACUGCCACUCCCUAAUGAAGAAUUAUCUAGCUCAAAAUGUCAAAGGCACUUGAACCAGAGUGACUCCAUCUUGAAUAGGGACUCAGUAAAACAAGGCUGAGACCUGCUGGGCUGUAUCCUCAGGAGGUUAUGCAUUUGUAGUCACAGGAUGAUAGGAGGUCACAAGAUACAGGUCACAAAGAUUCCACUGAUAAAACAGGAUGCAAUAAAGAAGUCUGCCAAAAUUCGCUAAAACCAAGAUGGCAGCAAAAGUGACCUCUAGUCAUUCUCACUGCUCAUUAUAUGCUAAUUAUAAUGCAUUAACAUGCUAAAAGACACUCCUACCAGCACCAUGACAGUUUACAAAUGCCACGGCAACAUCCAGAAGUUACCCUAUAUGGCCUAAAAGGAAGAGGAACCCUUCAUUCUGGGAAAUCCCUGCCCCUUUCCUGGAAAACUCAUGAAUAAUCCACUACUUGUUUAGCAUAUAAUCAAGAAAUAACCAUAAAAUUAGCCAACCAGAAGCCCUCAGGGCUGUUCUGUCGAUGGAGUAGUCAUUCUUUUAUUCUUUUGCUUUCUUAAUAAA
rnacentral:lncRNA from 1 species